rnacentral:rRNA from 1 species
AGGUUUCCGAAGGUGAACCUGCGGAAGGAUCAUUAAUGA